rnacentral:ncRNA from 1 species
AAAGCCGUUGCUAUAGUAAUCCUGCGAAGUACGAGAGGAACCGCAGGUUCGGACAUUUGGUUUUGCACUUGGUCGAACGGCCAAUGGUGCGAGGCUACGUCCGUGUGAUUAUACCUGAAAGCCUCUGAAGGUAGAAUCUGUGCUGGAGUUCACAACGGUACCGUGCGUUCGGACUCACUGGUGGCUAAACGUAACCUGGUCCUUUAGCUUUUAGCAAUGGGUGCUAGUGCUUCGGAGCCAAGGUUCGGCGGUUGCUUGCCCUCGGGAGACGGCGACAGGGCAGCUUCACCGUCGAAUAAAUCAAAUAUUCCAUAAGGUCGAAUGCCAAAAUCACUUGUAGACGACUUGGGUACCGGCCGGGGUGUUGUAAACGGUAGAGCAGUAAUUUACACUGCGAUCUGCUGAGACUAAGCCUACGACCGGGAGAUUUGU